UCAGCUCUUGCACAAACCUAAACAAAAAAAUGGAUAUUAUAUAGAUUUGGGAAAAAGGGAUCGGAGGAAAGAAAAACAGAGACAACACUGCUAACAGAGGUUCCUCUUUGCUCGAUUUAUAGGAACAAGUAGUGUCGAUCUGUUGGUGAAAUAUAUAUGAAUAAGGUUCCUUUUUGCUGAAUAUUCUUCAAUUUUUGACUAAUAGGGUUCUAUAAAGUAUGUAUUUCAUCAGGAAUGGGGUUCUCUAAAGUCGAUGGAGAAGGAAGAGAGUUCCUAGUUUGAAAAUCACUGUGAGCGUAAGAAGUUCGAAGUUCUAAAGGAUUGAACCAGUUCGCCCAUUUGAAGUUUUGAAAAUUAGUUCGAGUUGUUAUUAGUGCAUGUUGAAGAGCAGUGAGCUUCAAGAGUUUUGGGGUGCAAUGGAUCUGCUGCAGGUGUUGCAGUCAAGGAAUUGGCAUGGGUGGAGAGCUGAUGUGUUGGUGAGGUCCUAUCUUGGAAGGCUGCUGUCUCUAUGUUGAUGCCUUUUAUUUGCCAAGGUGACCCAUUAGCUGUUGUACCUACAAAAAAACCAUCAAAGGAAAACAACCAGCCAACAAGACAGAAAAACCAGGAUGGGCCUAUAGCAGUCUUGGAGUUUCUAUUUGAUUUGGUGGUUGUAUCAUUGAUGUCCUCCAUGUAGUUGUUGUUAAUGCAUGUUGAUGUAUCACUCCAGUAACCUGCAACAAUACAACAAACAAACAAAAGCAAGAAAGAACUUGCACAAGCUAGCAAAAUAGAAAGGACCUCUAAGAGUGUU